rnacentral:lncRNA from 1 species
UGUAAAAAAUCUUCCAACAUGCAAACUGACCUUUAGAAGUUCAGUUGUCAGCAUGGUGAAGCCUACUGACUAAAUUUUAUCCUUAUUGGAUUGGAUUGUAAAUUGUAAUCAGAGAAAAAUUGAUUAGUGUAUUUUUAUCUUUGAAACUUGACCGGUUCAAGCACAGAUGGUAAUUUUAACCCUUUCUGGUUUAUUUAGAAGUGUAGAUCUGAUCUAGAAUACGGGUUCUGUGGUUUGAAUCUAAAUUGCCAAGGACAAAUGAUACCAAUAUAAAAAUGUGUAUAAAUUGAAUGAUUAUUAGAGCAUACUCAAAGAAUUAAAUUUCUUAGGAAGAUGAUUUUUGCAGUUUCAAUUGUCAUUUAGUCAUCAAACUGUAAUAUACUCAUUAGAUAUAUUGAUCGACUUUUCUAGAGUUUUAGAUAUUCUAUGGUUUGAAAUUAUGCUUUCUUUUAAUUUUUUUUUUAUAUUUUUUUUAUGGGAUAUCAUGACAAACAAUCCAUCUGAAAGUUAGGUGGAAAUAUUUACAUUUUGGCACUGGUAAUCAUGCAUCCUGUUUCCUUUUAUAUCUGUGGAAAAAUUUGCCUGGCAUUUUCAAGACUACUAUGUCAUACAUAGGAGAAUUUUGUUUCAUUCAUGAUAUUGCUCGUACAUCCCUUUCCCCCUGUGUAUGCCCUUGUUCUCUGUGAAAUUCAUCCAAAUUUUCAACUUCUAAUUCAUGCCAAAACUUCUAGUACAGUAGUUCAUUCAGCUUUCUUAAUCUUUUGCGGGUGUCAAUGUUGGGACUUUAGGUGUUGUCUAUUCUCCUUACUUAGCACCCCAAUGCUAACUAUGAAUAUGAUAUAGAUAAAGUGAUAAACUAAGAUUGACAAGAUUAUAACAAAUUUGAUUUGACAACAAAGGAAAUUCUUUGCCAGCCAGAUAGUUUUGAAUUGCUUAUUUAAUAAUCAAUAGUAAUACCAUAUCUAAUUAAGAGCUAGUGCUAGAAGUCCUGCUGCCUAUAAACUCUAGGAAUUACGGAUGCCAUUUUUUACAUUCUUUAUGAUCGAGGUAUUUUAUAAUUAUAUUUUUAUACAACAUUGACACGUUUUAUUGUUAGUAAUAACAUCAUACAAGCAAAUAACAUUUACUUUUUUCACAUGGUCAAAUAACAUUUGCUGAGAUCAAUGAAUUGGGAUGAAAUGUUGUUAUAUGAUAAAAUAUUAAAUAGUACUGUACUAAUGCUGCUUCUGUUGUUUGUUAACUGUCGCAUAACAAUCUUGUAGCAAAUAAUAAAAUAAUAAUUAGUAGAGAAGGAAAUCAAGUCAUUGAGUUAUAUAUUAAUAAUUUAAAUAACAAUUAGGAUCCGUUGACACCAGGUAUGAAACUUUAGUUUGAUACCAAAUCUCAGCUGUCUACUUUUUAAAUCUAAAGGCCCGUGAUUAUUUGUUAAUUUAAGUAAAGGCGAGCCUUUCUCUCUCAACUCUCUUAACAACAAGCUUUUUCUUUUUGGCCCGAUAUUUGUUAACUUUACAAAGUUUGAAACAGAACAAAUUAAAGCAUCUAUGUUCAUAAUGAUCUCCACUACGAGUUCAAUUUUAUUUGGAAGGUUUUCUAUUUUACCAAAACCACCCAACUGAUUUUAAAUAUAUGUUUUCAGAUAUGAAAUUGCUGGGAGUAUUUCAAUUAUUAAAUCAGCAAAGUUUGUGCAACUCAUUCCCAAACCUUAAAUUCCAUCAAUCGAGAAACACUCAUUCAAAAUAACUUCCUCUACGUGUAAUUGAUUUCAUAAAUUUUACAUGAAUUGUCUAAUUAGGUUGCAAUUCAUUUGAGAAAUUAAUCAAUGUGAAUGAAGUUUGAUUGAUUGCAUAUAGAUAUCUGAUGAGUGGAUAUGGCACACUUUCAAGUUUGAUUGACUACACUUACGAAAUAGAGACUCGUGUGGGUUAAUUUAUAAAACUAUUAUUUUCCUUUGGAUUAAAAAAUUAAACAGCUGAGAUUUGAUGUCAAACUAAAGUUUGACAUGUGGUGUCAACUGACCCCGACUCUUUAAAUAAUAGCUAAACUAUAAUGAUAUUAUACAAUAUUAAGUAGUCAACUAGGCACUAACCAUGGGGCUGUAAUUUUUGUCAUUCUGGUCGGAAGGGGUUUGUCAUUUGAGUAUUUAUUAGGAGGUCAUACACUUAAUAAUUGUCACUGGUGUAAAAAGGGUGCCAGUGUUUUCUUACCAGUGCUUUUUUUAUUAAAAUGAAAACCUUAUCAAGUAUGGGAAAUAUUAUUGGAUUGGGUCUUCAGCUAUUCUUGAAAAACAAGAUACAUUGUCCUGAUGGAGAGAUAGUCAUAACUUUUUUGGGCCUGUUCCAUUUGUUCUAUUGCGGACCUUUUUUAUGUUUGUCUUUCUUUAGUCUCUUGGGCUAAUGACAUAAAAAGGGGAAUAUAAUUUGUUUGUCUUUUCAUUGACUUAGUUAAAACAACUUGGAUUAUAAAUUGGAAAAAAGGGAAUAACAUCAAGAGAUCAGAAGAAGGAAGACUGUUUUCUUUCUUUUUCUUCUUGAAUGACAAUUGAGAAAAAAUCUUCGAGUGAGGGAUCAAAGGUUUCAGAGAAAAUCUUCGAGUGAGGGGUCAAGGGUUCAAGAGAAAAUCUUCGAGUGAGGGAUCAAGGGUUCGAGAGAAAAUAGAGCGUAGAAAGCUUGAGUUCUUUGUUGUUCAUCCUGGACAUAAAAGGGGCAAGAGUUAUCUGUAACCGAAUUCAUGUGGGUUCAUUUCCUUCUCUUAAUUAAUGUUGCAUUUAAUUUUGCAUUUUAUUCUUGCUGCUGCAAUUUGAUUUCUGUGAUCCUUGUUAUUUCCUGCUGCUACAGUGCAUUCUGUUUUUCAUUGCUUUGUUUCUGCACCUAUCAUGCCUUUUAGUUUUAUGAGUUUCUGUCAAUUGCGCUGCUGCUGCAUAUUUUUCUGGUUCCGUGUUUCUGCAUAAUCUGCAAUUGCUGCGCAAAUUUGCUUCUGAUGUAUUAGUGAUUCUAGUUUUGGUGCUUUUGGUUUGUGUCAGUUUCUGCAUACCUGCAUGCGUUUAGGCUUCCUCGUAGUUUCUUGUUUAAUGCAAAUACUGCAUAAUUGCAUUUCUGUUUUCACAUUUCUUCAGUUAAUGUUAUUGCUGUUUUUGGAUUUCAUUUGUGCGUAAUAAAUUCUUUAAGUUCUUCUAAUUGACUGGUUAGAACCAACAACUAAAUAUAAAGGACAAAAUUUGGCUAUCCAUGAUAAUUUGGCUGAAUGGAUUUGUCAGUUAGUCUAUAGGGAUUUUUCAGUUGUAUGGUUAUCCAUGAAAAUUUGGUGGAAUGGAUUUGUUGUCCGACUCUAAUCUCCUUUGCUGCAACUUUCCCUUUACCCUCGGAACUUAUUUUUCAUCAUGUGGGCGUGACUUGGGGUGAAAACUGAAAGUAGUUGGGUGUUGAUAUAUGCGGUCAAAUAUUCCACUUGUUUGUUUAGUAAUUUCGCAAGUGUUUGAUAAAUGAAGGGAUUUCAUUUUCGCUGGCUGCUCCACUUGUGUUAAAAACUUAAUGUGCUGAAAAUCUUGGCCUGUUAAAUAGAGUUUAAGCUUUACUAUUCCACUCUUUUUUUUUUUUGGUCAAACAAGUAGAUAUUUCAUUCAUUGAUAGCUAAAUAGCUAGUGAUUACACUGUGUAUAGAAAAGUGCUCACUAUUGGGGUCAAGUACAGCAUCACUGCAAAAUCCAACAAAUACAUCAUUAAACAAUAGACUUGCUCCUGACUUAUGCAUCUAACAAAUCAUGGUAACAUAGCUUAGCUAAGAAAAAAAUACCCACGUACAUCAAAGGGCAUCAUGAACCCUUCAUAAUACAACACAGUUUCAAGAUAAACUCCUAAUAAACAAGAACAACAUAUACACCAGUAUAGCUGAUAAAAAAGAAACAAACACAAAUGGAAGAUGUUUUGGAGUUAUAGCAUCUUCUGGUACCGCAAAAGCUUGAAGGCCGAUGUCUCAAACCCAAAAGUGAGCGACCUGCAUAGUAGAUGUUAGGCAGUAGAUCCAGCUCAAAAGAAACGGCAAACGGUGACCCUGUUUAAAAAACAUCAGAUCCGAAAACAACUUACAAACAUAGGACGAAAAACAACUAAGAUUAAGAUAGAUCUAUAUUAACACUUAAAAUGGAGACCACACAGAGAAAUAAAGGCAGAUCUGGUGGAUCUGGCUUUCAAAGGGCCGAAUCCAGAUGGAGGGGUGGUGGGGGUUUCGGUGGCGGACGGUACAACGCAAGUGGUUGUAUGGGUGGUGGCUCACCACCACCACCGUUAACCGAAAGAAUCGCAGCAAACAGAGAACACAACAACGGUAUGCUUCACAUGAGAGAAAGCGUCAAAGAGUGGAGAGAGAGACGAGAAUGAAUGGUAGAAAAAACAGUGUUUAUUACACAAAAAAAAAACUAGCAACCUAGUGGAAGCGGCGGCUCUAGGGAAGAAACCCUAAACCGUGAAAACAACUCUUGAGCUAACACAGCGUGUAUAAACUUUAAACUUGCUCAUCAUUUAGCGCACUCCCCUUGAAUGUGAAUGGGUUUGUUGUUGGGUUAUGACAAAUUUGUAGGCUAGCUUAUUCCCAAGUUUGUUGGUUGUUUACGUCCCAAGUUUGAGCUUAGCAGCUUUCCCAUUGGCUUGGGGUGUGUUUAGUUUGGCGUUUGGAAACGCACAUCCAGUUUUGUUUUGCUAUGAUUUCCUAUAAGAUACAAAACAAAGCUUCUUCGUAAAAGCGAUGGCUUGCUGCAAAAAUCUACAUAGACGUAGUAAGCUUGCUGCAAAACCAAACAUAUAGUUAAUGAUUUAUAAUUGUUGAAUAGUGGAGAAACAAGAUCAAAGGGUGGCAUUCCGUAAAAAAAAUAAUUAUAAUAAUCAAAGGAUGGCAUGAAAAGUUGUUUACUUGUAUUAUUUUUCUUUGGACUGAAUGUUGUGUGACAAAAAAUGAAAACUAGAUUUGCAUAUGGCUCAUGUGAAAAUUGAUAUUAUUACGUGCA